UGCACUCACAGCUCUGGCUGAGGCUGCCUCCUGUCCUUACAGUGCAGGAGCUGUUGGUUGGUUGGAGAGGUGGUGUUCGGCACUGGUGAGAGAAAGAAUUGACUUGGAGUUUCGGGAGCUGUUGGACCCCGACAUUGCUUUCUCAAGGCCAGCAAGAUUAAUGCACCUUCAUCAAUUGGAGGUGGUGGUUGAACAUUCCUUUGAUUCCAGCACUCAGGAGGCAGAAGAAGGCAGAUAUCUGUGAGUUCAAGGCCAGCCUGGUGUCCAGAGCCAGCGCCAAACAAAGAAACCCUGUCUUUGGGGGAAAAAACCCAAACAUAAAUCACAACAGAUGAAACAAAACAAAAAAGAAGAUGCACCUCUGUCCAUCUCCGAGUGGUGGGGUGACAAGCUUCAGCAAGCCUGCUCACUCUUUUUCUUGCACCCUGGGGAACGAAAUCCUAUCUCACAAGGAAAGCAGGUAAUGUAAAAACAGACAUUCACUGUCCCAGUCCUCUUGUACUUCUGAAUCUGGCUCAGAGUGUCGAUUUCACACUCUUGACUCGCUGCCCAGCCGUCUAGCCUUAUAAACAACACAGCCUGGAACAGCA